rnacentral:rRNA from 1 species
CUUGGUCAUUUAGAGGAAGUAAAAGUCGUAACAAGGUUUCCGUAGGUGAACCUGCGGAAGGAUCAUUACACAUUCGGGGCGCUUCGGCGCUCCUUAUACACCCACCCUCUGCCUACGUGUACCUCUAUAGCUUCCUCGGCGGGCUCGCCCGCCGCCAGGAACCCACGAAACCCCUUGCAUUAUACGCGAAAACUUCUGAUAACAAACCUAAAUUAUCACAACUUUCAACAAUGGAUCUCUUGGUUCUGGCAUCGAUGAAGAACGCAGCGAAAUGCGAUAAGUAGUGUGAAUUGCAGAAUUCAGUGAAUCAUCGAAUCUUUGAACGCACAUUGCGGCCAUAGGUAUUCCUUUGGCCAUGCCUGUUCGAGCGUCAUUUACACCCUCAAGCCUAGCUUGGUGUUGGGCGUCUGUCCCGCCGUUUUCGCGCGCGGACUCGCCUCAAAGUCAUUGGCGGCGGUCGUGCCGGCCCCCUCGCGCAGCACAUUUGCGCUUCUCGGAGGCCCAGCGGAUCCGCGCUCCAGCAAGACCUUUCACGACUUGACCUCGGAUCAGGUAGGGAUACCCGCUGAACUUAAGCAUAUCAAUAAGCGGAGGA